rnacentral:misc_RNA from 1 species
ACCAGAAAGCAAAGUUAGCAACUCCAUGGACCACCAUUUAAGACAAACCAUUACAGCAGAAGGGACUCCCAAGCGAAAGAACUCUCCAAUACCAAGAAAUGCAUCUCUCGAAAGUGGCGUUCGAGUUUUCUCGCAGUUUGAAGAGCACUUCACAUAAAAUCCAAGCAGAAAGACGUUUAGCCAAAUCGACAAACAGAAGGCUAAAGCUGCACCCUUGUAUCCUAGUUCUAGCUUAAAUAUGAAAGUCCAACAGGCAGUUGUAUGGAAAAAUAGAAUUAAAAGGGAGCUCAAAAGCAUUGGAAGAAUCACAGUUUGUGUCUGAAGAAAUCGAGUUAAAGGCUUAAGGAUUGCACUUCCAAACAGUGCAGGGAUUAGCCAUAUUGAGUAUUUGCAAGCUUCAUGUGAGAUUAAAGGGUCUUGCCCUAUGAGAGGAAGUAAUUUGUCCAUGAAAAUCCAGGGCAGGCAUAUUGGAGGGCAAAUCAUGACCAGAGAGAUUAUAGCAGAGUAAGUGUAGGUUCCAAGCUUGUGAUAUUGUUCAGCUCCAUAAGCUUGACCACAUAG